UAACAACUUUAGGGGAGGGCUUAGAGAGGGAGAGGUCCACGUCAGGCUAUCCUGCCAUCCAUCUGGGGUACUGAUUGAACACCUGACCCUAUCCGGAGCACUGUCCUAGGCCUCUGGGAGAGCAGAGUGGAGAAUAUAUAUAAAAAAAGAAGUUGAUCCCCACUGGGAAGAUUCCCCUUCAAUCCUGCUCCCAGCCCGACAAUGCCCCCGAGGGGCGGGAAGAUCCACUGUGACCCGGGGAUGCUUGGUUGCCAUGGAUACCGGUGUGAUGCAAGAACUGUGGUCCCUAGCACUGAAACAAUGUUCCAGCGUCCGAAGCCCAGUCUGGAGGGGAAAGGGAAGAGAUCAGUGAAAACUGGAUGAAAAGGCACCAACCUGGCUCGGCCUCCUCCGGGCGCCGGGCUCCGAGCGGGCCUCGGGAGGUUGGGACGAGAGGAUGGACAGACGGAAGGAUGGACGGGAUCAGGGAUACGCCUCCGCAGAACUCCGACAAGGCAAGUUUCAGGCCACUGGACUAAAUCAAUUUCUCUGGAGAGAAGGGAUGGGUUAGGGGUGUCUUCUAUAUUACCGUCGUGGCCCACUCUCCCAAGCGCGUAGCACAGUGUUCUGCACACCGUGAGCGCUCAAUAAAUGCCACUGAUCGAUUGAUUCU